rnacentral:rRNA from 1 species
UACGUAGGUGGCAAGCGUUGUUCGGAAUUACUGGGCGUAAAGCGCACGUAGGCGGCUUUGUAAGUUAGAGGUGAAAGCCCGGGGCUCAACUCCGGAAUUGCCUUUAAGACUGCAUCGCUUGAAUCCGGGAGAGGUGAGUGGAAUUCCGAGUGUAGAGGUGAAAUUCGUAGAUAUUCGGAAGAACACCAGUGGCGAAGGCGGCUCACUGGACCGGUAUUGACGCUGAGGUGCGAAAGCGUGGGGAGCAAACAGG